GGUUCUGUGGUGUAGUGGUUAUCGCAUCUGCUUUAUAUGCAGAAGGUCGUGAGUUCAAUCCUCACCAGAACCU